UUGAUCUUGAAGCGGGCUUGUUCUUUCCAUUUGGGCCAUCCCAGGGGAUUCCUACAUCUGUCCUGCUUUUUGGAGGCUGGUUGAAGGAAGGAAACUUUUUUCCUGUUCCUGGGCUUCAUGGUUAUUUCCUCUCUUCCACUGUUGGAACCCAGCAGAGCCAACCCUUACAUCAGAGGUGUCUGUUUGCACUAGGAAACUUUUGGUAAAAUACCACUGGUCCUCUGAGCUUGAUACAAGGAGCUUUGGGUUACUUGCUGGAUCCUGGACCUGGCAGUGACCCAGCUUCAACUAGGAAGUAGUAGAGCAACACAAUGGAAAGACCACAAAUCUUUGGAAGAGAGAGCAGAAAUACUCUGUUGGCCUAGACUGCUCACAUCUAUAUUCUUCAAGCCGUGGUUUUCAGGCUUUUUAAUAGUCAUUUAGCAAUAUGAUAAACAAUAUGUAAACAAAUAUUGUUUUGAUAACAAAAAUUGUUUGAUAACAACAUAUAAACAAAUUUGUAAAACAUGUCAAAUGGGAUAACUGUAAUCAAGAAAAAUAAAAGUAAUGAGAAUGGAGAGUAUUACAAGAUGGGGGAGGAAUGCUCACAGUUUUAAAUAUGCAAGUCAAUAAAGGUCUUGCUGGGAUAACUUUUGAGAAAAGAUGUGAAGGAGUUGUAGGAAUCAAGCAGUGCAGAUAUAUAGGGGGAGAGUAUUCCUACUAGAAGGAAUGGUAAGUGCAAAGGCCCUAAGGUAGGAGUAUGCCAGACAUAUUUGAGGAGCAGAAAAGGAGGUCAGUGUAUAGGAACAGAGCAGGUGAGGAGAGACUAACAGGAGACAAAGUCAGAGUUUGUGAGGGAAGAGAUGAGACAAGGGAGUAGAUGGUAUAUGGCUUUUGGUGGGUUCUUGUGAGGACACUGGCUUUUAAUCUAAAUGGAAAGGAGAACCAUGGAAGUGCUUUCAGCCACAGGAGCAAUAUGAUCUAGCUUCUGUUUUAAUAGGAGUCUUCUAGCUUCUGUGUUAAGGAAAUCAAGGGUAGAAGUGGGAGACCUAUUACAAAGCUAUAGCAAUAAUCUAGUUGGGAAGUGAUGGUGGCUUGGUCCAAGAUUAUACCAAUAGCAGUGAUGAGAGAUGGUCAGAUUUCAGCUAUAUUUUGAAGGUAGAGCCAACAGAAGUUGCUGAUGCAAUGGAUGUGGGGUGUAAGAGAAAUAGAAAAGUCAAAGGUAACUUGAAAAAUUAGAAGACCGGAGUUUUCAUUUAUUGAAUCAGGGAAGAUUCUGUGAAGAGCAGGUUUGAGAGCAAAGGAAAAAAAAACUAAUUUGGGGGCAUGUUAAGCUUGAGGUGCCUCUUAGACAUCCAAAUAGAGAUGCUGGGUAGGCAGAUGGAUAUAAAGAUCUGUACUGAAACAUGAUCACCUUUAUGAAUAUUAGAUAUUCACAAGGCAGGGAAUGCAAUAUGGCUGAUUAGAGCACCCCGUAUAUGCCUGCUUCUCCACAAGAAAGCAUCAGUACAUACAUGAGAAUUAAAUUUAAUUAUAUGGAAUUAAAUGAGAAUUAAAUUAUAUGAGAUUUAAAUUGAAUUAUAUGACUUAUAUGGAAUCACCA